GUGACUGCGUACCUUUUGUAUAAUGGGUCAGCGACUUAUAUUCUGUAGCAAGGUUAACCGAAUAGGGGAGCCGAAGGGAAACCGAGUCUUAACUGGGCGUUAAGUUGCAGGGUAUAGACCCGAAACCCGGUGAUCUAGCCAUGGGCAGGUUGAAGGUUGGGUAACACUAACUGGAGGACCGAACCGACUAAUGUUGAAAAAUUAGCGGAUGACUUGUGGCUGGGGGUGAAAGGCCAAUCAAACCGGGAGAUAGCUGGUUCUCCCCGAAAGCUAUUUAGGUAGCGCCUCGUGAAUUCAUCUCCGGGGGUAGAGCACUGUUUCGGCAAGGGGGUCAUCCCGACUUACCAACCCGAUGCAAACUGCGAAUACCGGAGAAUGUUAUCACGGGAGACACACGGCGGGUGCUAACGUCCGUCGUGAAGAGGGAAACAACCCAGACCGCCAGCUAAGGUCCCAAAGUCAUGGUUAAGUGGGAAACGAUGUGGGAAGGCCCAGACAGCCAGGAUGUUGGCUUAGAAGCAGCCAUCAUUUAAAGAAAGCGUAAUAGCUCACUGGUCGAGUCGGCCUGCGCGGAAGAUGUAACGGGGCUAAACCAUGCACCGAAGCUGCGGCAGCGACACUAUGUGUUGUUGGGUAGGGGAGCGUUCUGUAAGCCUGUGAAGGUGUACUGUGAGGUAUGCUGGAGGUAUCAGAAGUGCGAAUGCUGACAUAAGUAACGAUAAAGCGGGUGAAAAGCCCGCUCGCCGGAAGACCAAGGGUUCCUGUCCAACGUUAAUCGGGGCAGGGUGACUCGACCCCUAAGGCGAGGCCGAAAGGCGUAGUCGAUGGGAAACAGGUUAAUAUUCCUGUACUUGGUGUUACUGCGAAGGGGGGACGGAGAAGGCUAUGUUGGCCGGGCGACGGUUGUCCCGGUUUAAGCGUGUAGGCUGGUUUUCCAGGCAAAUCCGGAAAAUCAAGGCUGAGGCGUGAUGACGAGGCACUACGGUGCUGAAGCAACAAAUGCCCUGCUUCCAGGAAAAGCCUCUAAGCAUCAGGUAACAUCAAAUCGUACCCCAAACCGACACAGGUGGUCAGGUAGAGAAUACCAAGGCGCUUGAGAGAACUCGGGUGAAGGAACUAGGCAAAAUGGUGCCGUAACUUCGGGAGAAGGCACGCUGAUAUGUAGGUGAAGCGACUUGCUCGUGGAGCUGAAAUCAGUCGAAGAUACCAGCUGGCUGCAACUGUUUAUUAAAAACACAGCACUGUGCAAACACGAAAGUGGACGUAUACGGUGUGACGCCUGCCCGGUGCCGGAAGGUUAAUUGAUGGGGUUAGCGGUAACGCGAAGCUCUUGAUCGAAGCCCCGGUAAACGGCGGCCGUAACUAUAACGGUCCUAAGGUAGCGAAAUUCCUUGUCGGGUAAGUUCCGACCUGCACGAAUGGCGUAAUGAUGGCCAGGCUGUCUCCACCCGAGACUCAGUGAAAUUGAACUCGCUGUGAAGAUGCAGUGUACCCGCGGCAAGACGGAAAGACCCCGUGAACCUUUACUAUAGCUUGACACUGAACAUUGAGCCUUGAUGUGUAGGAUAGGUGGGAGGCUUUGAAGUGUGGACGCCAGUCUGCAUGGAGCCGACCUUGAAAUACCACCCUUUAAUGUUUGAUGUUCUAACGUUGGCCCGUUAUCCGGGUUGCGGACAGUGUCUGGUGGGUAGUUUGACUGGGGCGGUCUCCUCCUAAAGAGUAACGGAGGAGCACGAAGGUUGGCUAAUCCUGGUCGGACAUCAGGAGGUUAGUGCAAUGGCAUAAGCCAGCUUGACUGCGAGCGUGACGGCGCGAGCAGGUGCGAAAGCAGGUCAUAGUGAUCCGGUGGUUCUGAAUGGAAGGGCCAUCGCUCAACGGAUAAAAGGUACUCCGGGGAUAACAGGCUGAUACCGCCCAAGAGUUCAUAUCGACGGCGGUGUUUGGCACCUCGAUGUCGGCUCAUCACAUCCUGGGGCUGAAGUAGGUCCCAAGGGUAUGGCUGUUCGCCAUUUAAAGUGGUACGCGAGCUGGGUUUAGAACGUCGUGAGACAGUUCGGUCCCUAUCUGCCGUGGGCGCUGGAGAACUGAGGGGGGCUGCUCCUAGUACGAGAGGACCGGAGUGGACGCAUCACUGGUGUUCGGGUUGUCAUGCCAAUGGCACUGCCCGGUAGCUAAAUGCGGAAGAGAUAAGUGCUGAAAGCAUCUAAGCACGAAACUUGCCCCGAGAUGAGUUCUCCCUGACUCCCUGAGAGUCCUGAAGGAACGUUGAAGACGACGACGUUGAUAGGCCGGGUGUGUAAGCGCAGCGAUGCGUUGAGCUAACCGGUACUAAUGAACCGUGAGGCUUAACCUUACAACGCCGAAGCUGUU
rnacentral:rRNA from 1 species